UCCUGGCUCAGAACGAACGCUGGCGGCAUGCCUAACACAUGCAAGUCGAACGAGACCUUCGGGUCUAGUGGCGCACGGGUGCGUAACGCGUGGGAAUCUGCCCUUGGGUUCGGGAUAACAGUUGGAAACGACUGCUAAUACCGGAUGAUAUCUUCGGAUCAAAGAUUUAUCGCCCAGGGAUGAGCCCGCGUAGGAUUAGCUUGUUGGUGAGGUAAAAGCUCACCAAGGCGACGAUCCUUAGCUGGUCUGAGAGGAUGAUCAGCCACACUGGGACUGAGACACGGCCCAGACUCCUACGGGAGGCAGCAGUGGGGAAUAUUGGACAAUGGGCGAAAGCCUGAUCCAGCAAUGCCGCGUGAGUGAUGAAGGCCUUAGGGUUGUAAAGCUCUUUUACCCGG
rnacentral:rRNA from 1 species